UCACUAUUAUGGUUUGUUCUGCAUCAACAGUAAUCCUUUACUGCCUUUUUAUUCCAGAUACAAUAAACUUUUUUUUGUGAGAGAUUAGUACCUCAACUUUGCUUCUGCAUUUCAUCAGCCAGAGCAGCUGUUCAUUAUUUUGUGUAUUUCAAAGCAGGAGAGAUAAUAACUAAAACAGACAUCAAAACUUGUGGUGGGGAGAAGAAUGCAUCCUUCCAUUCAGUGCAUCCUCUAGGUUCAGUGUACCUUGGAAAGCCCAGUCCAUCCAAGCACACAAUUCACUUCUCACCAUGGUAAGGUGUUUGUUUAUUUAAGUGCAGUUUAAAUUUCUGCCUCCUUCUGGAGUCACCAGGUUAGCUUUAUCUGAAAAAAUUGUGAGCUUGCAAUGAAUUAUUAGUAGCUAUCCUGUAGUUAAUACAAUUUUGUCAAAGCAGGAACUGAUAGAAAUGCUUCUCUUCCAAUAUAAUUCUUUCCUCUUUUUUAAUAUUUUUUUUUAAAUCAUUAAUUCAGAAUUUCAUAUCUGAAUAAUCCCUGGUGCAUAGGAUGCUAAUUCAAAAAUACCACAAAUUGAACUUUUUUUGUCCAUUUAUUGGUUGGCUUGUUGCAUAACAAGAAAACUGAUAAGUUUAAUUACUUUUAUGAAAAUGAAAGGGAA
rnacentral:lncRNA from 1 species